UACGUAGGGGGCAAGCGUUGUCCGGAUUUAUUGGGCGUAAAGAGCGUGUAGGCGGCCUGGAAGGUCAGCUGUGAAAACUCGAGGCUCAACCUCGAGACGUCGGUUGAAACCACUUGGCUAGAGUCCGGAAGAGGAGUGUGGAAUUCCCGGUGUAGCGGUGAAAUGCGCAGAUAUCGGGAAGAACACCCGUGGCGAAGGCGGCACUCUGGGACGGUACUGACGCUGAGACGGCGAAAGCGUGGGGAGCGAACAGG
rnacentral:rRNA from 1 species